CUGGUUGAUCCUUGCCAGUAGUCAUAUGCUUGUCUCAAAGAUUAAGCCAUGCAUGUGCAAGUAUGGACCAAUUUGAACUGUGAAACUGCAAAUGACUCAUUAAAUCAAUUAUAGUUUGUUUGAUGGUACGUGCUACUCGGAUAACCCUAGAGAUAAUACGUGCAACAAACCCCGACUUCUGGGAGGGGUGCAUCUAUUAGAUAAAAGGCUGUCAUGGGAUCUGCCCGCUGAUCCGAUGAUUCAUGAUAACUCGACAAAUCGCACGACCCUCGUGCUGGUGACGCAUCAUUCAAAUUUCCGCCCUAUCAACUUUCCAUUAUAGGAUAGGGGCUUGCCAUGGUGGUGAUGGGUGACGGAGAAUUAGGGUUUGAUUCCAGAGAGGGAGCCUAAGAAACGGCUGCCACAUCCAAGGAAAGCAGCAGGCGCGCAAAUUACCCAAUCCUGACACGGGGAGGUACUGACAAUAAAUAACAAUACCAAGCGCAUUAGUGUCUGGUAAUUGGAAUGAGUACAAUCUAAAUCCUUUAACGAGGAUCCAUUGGAGGGCAAGUCCGGUGCCAGCAACCUCGGUAAUUCCAGCUCCAAUAGCGUAUAUUUAAGUUGUUGCAGUUAAAAAGCUCGUAGUUGGACUUUGGGCCGGGUCGACCGGUCCGCGUCACGAAGAGCACCGACCUACUCGACCCUUCAGUCGGCGAUGCGCUCCUAACCUUAAUUGGCCGGGUUGUACCUCCGGCAUCGUUACUUUGAAGAAAUUAGAGUGCUCAAAGAAAGCCAUCGCUCUGGAUAUACAAUAGGACGGGAUAACAUCAUAGGAUUCUGGUCAUAUUGUGUUGGCCUUCGAGGUCGGAGUAAUGAUUAAUAGGGCAGUCGGGGGUAUUCGUAUUUCAUAGUCAGAGGUGAAAUUCUUGGAUUUAUGAAAGAAGAACAGCUGUGAAAGCAUUUGCCAAGGAUCGGCAGAUGUUGCAUAUAGGACUCCGCCGGCACCUUAUGAGAAAUCAAAGUCUUUGGGUUCCA
rnacentral:ncRNA from 1 species